rnacentral:rRNA from 1 species
GAGCACGUAGGGGGGUUUGUAAGUCAGAUGUGAAAGCCUUCUGUUCAACGGGAGAAUUGCAUCUGAAACUGCCAAUCUUGAGUAUAGGAGGGGAGAAUGGAACUUCUGGUGGAGCGGUGAAAUGCGUAGAUAUCAGAAGGAACGCCGGCGGCGAAAGCGAUUCUCUGGCCUAUUACUGACACUCAGUGUGCGAAAGCUAGGGAGCAAACGGGAUAGAUACCCCGUAGCAGCAAU